GUGGGCAACUGCGCGAAAACAAGAGCCUUGUUUUCUUUUGCAUUCCAAACUUGCAAAACAAUGCAACAAUGAUUGAGAAUAUCGUUGCUGCAGUUUUCACUGUCUAUGGUAUUAAUUAUUCCGGAUAUUAUCUGACUAACUUGGCAUGUCACCUGAGCCGUGUACUCAGAGGUGCCAAAUCUGAGGCCCUUCUGGAGAGAGACCAUAAACAGAUUGCUUUAUCAGAUGUGGCAUGUCAGACUCAGGGAGAGCUGUUCCCAGCCC